GUUUGAUCAUGGCUCAGAUUGAACGCUGGCGGCAGGCCUAACACGUGCAAGUCGAACGGUAACAGGAAGCAGCUUGCUGCUUCGCUGACGAGUGGCGGACGGGUGAGUAAUGUCUGGGAAGCUGCCUGAUGGAGGGGGAUAACUACUGGAAACGGUAGCUAAUACCGCAUAAUGUCGCAAGACCAAAGAGGGGGACCUUCGGGCCUCUUGCCAUCGGAUGUGCCCAGAUGGGAUUAGCUUGUUGGUGGGGUAACGGCUCACCAAGGCGACGAUCCCUAGCUGGUCUGAGAGGAUGACCAGCCACACUGGAACUGAGACACGGUCCAGACUCCUACGGGAGGCAGCAGUGGGGAAUAUUGCACAAUGGGCGCAAGCCUGAUGCAGCCAUGCCGCGUGUAUGAAGAAGGCCUUCGGGUUGUAAAGUACUUUCAGCGGGGAGGAAGGGAGUAAAGUUAAUACCUUUGCUCAUUGACGUUACCCGCAGAAGAAGCACCGGCUAACUCCGUGCCAGCAGCCGCGGUAAUACGGAGGGUGCAAGCGUUAAUCGGAAUUACUGGGCGUAAAGCGCACGCAGGCGGUUUGUUAAGUCAGAUGUGAAAUCCCCGGGCUCAACCUGGGAACUGCAUCUGAUACUGGCAAGCUUGAGUCUCGUAGAGGGGGGUAGAAUUCCAGGUGUAGCGGUGAAAUGCGUAGAGAUCUGGAGGAAUACCGGUGGCGAAGGCGGCCCCCUGGACGAAGACUGACGCUCAGGUGCGAAAGCGUGGGGAGCAAACAGGAUUAGAUACCCUGGUAGUCCACGCCGUAAACGAUGUCGACUUGGAGGUUGUGCCCUUGAGGCGUGGCUUCCGGAGCUAACGCGUUAAGUCGACCGCCUGGGGAGUACGGCCGCAAGGUUAAAACUCAAAUGAAUUGACGGGGGCCCGCACAAGCGGUGGAGCAUGUGGUUUAAUUCGAUGCAACGCGAAGAACCUUACCUGGUCUUGACAUCCACGGAAGUUUUCAGAGAUGAGAAUGUGCCUUCGGGAACCGUGAGACAGGUGCUGCAUGGCUGUCGUCAGCUCGUGUUGUGAAAUGUUGGGUUAAGUCCCGCAACGAGCGCAACCCUUAUCCUUUGUUGCCAGCGGUCCGGCCGGGAACUCAAAGGAGACUGCCAGUGAUAAACUGGAGGAAGGUGGGGAUGACGUCAAGUCAUCAUGUCCCUUACGACCAGGGCUACACACGUGCUACAAUGGCGCAUACAAAGAGAAGCGACCUCGCGAGAGCAAGCGGACCUCAUAAAGUGCGUCGUAGUCCGGAUUGGAGUCUGCAACUCGACUCCAUGAAGUCGGAAUCGCUAGUAAUCGUGGAUCAGAAUGCCACGGUGAAUACGUUCCCGGGCCUUGUACACACCGCCCGUCACACCAUGGGAGUGGGUUGCAAAAGAAGUAGGUAGCUUAACCUUCGGGAGGGCGCUUACCACUUUGUGAUUCAUGACUGGGGUGAAGUCGUAACAAGGUA
rnacentral:rRNA from 1 species